UACGAAGGGGGCUAGCGUUGUUCGGAAUUACUGGGCGUAAAGCGUGCGCAGGCGGCUUCUCAAGUCAGGGGUGAAAGCCCAGAGCUCAACUCUGGAAUUGCCUUUGAGACUGAGUGGCUUGAGUACGAGAGAGGUGAGUGGAAUUCCCAGUGUAGAGGUGAAAUUCGUAGAUAUUGGGAAGAACACCGGUGGCGAAGGCGGCUCACUGGCUCGACACUGACGCUGAGGAGCGAAAGCGUGGGGAGCGAACAGG
rnacentral:rRNA from 1 species